UACGGGGGGAGCAAGCGUUGUUCGGAUUUACUGGGCGUAAAGGGCGCGUAGGCGGCCACCGCAAGUCGACUGUGAAAUCUCCGGGCUUAACCCGGAAAGGUCAGCCGAUACUGCGGGGCUAGAGUGCAGAAGGGGCAACUGGAAUUCUUGGUGUAGCGGUGAAAUUCGUAGAUAUCGGGUGGAACACCUGUGGCGAAGGCGGCCAUCUGGACGUUCACUGACGCUGAGACGCGAAAGCGUGGGUAGCAAACAGG
rnacentral:rRNA from 1 species